rnacentral:rRNA from 1 species
AGUUAUACAACUCCCAAACCCUAUGAAGAACCUUACCACUUACGUUGCUUCGGCGUGUGCGCGCCGGCGUCGCCUGCUCUUCUCGAGCCUGCGUCCCGGGCCAAACGCGCCCGCCGGAGAACCAUAAACUCUUGAUUUUGCGAAAGCAGUAUUCUUCUGAGUGGCCGAAAGGCAACAAAAACAAAUGAAUCAAAACUUUCAACAACGGAUCUCUUGGUUCUGGCAUCGAUGAAGAACGCAGCAAAAUGCGAUAAGUAAUGUGAAUUGCAGAAUUCAGUGAAUCAUCGAAUCUUUGAACGCACAUUGCGCCCGCCAGCAUUCUGGCGGGCAUGCCUGUUCGAGCGUCAUUUCAACCCUCGACCUCUCUUGUCUCUGACAGGACGAGGCCGGUGUUGGGGCGCGGCGGUCGAGCCUAGCUCGCGCCGGCUCCGAAAUUCAGUGGCGGCCCGUUGCGGCGACCUCUGCGUAGUAACUUACACCUCGCACUGGGACAGCAGCGCGGCCACGCCGUAAAACCCCC